GUGCUGAUUUUGGCAGCACAUAUACUAAAAUUGGAACAAUACAGGGAAGAUUAGCAUGGCCCUUGUGCAAGGAUGCCAUUCAAAGUAAUGAUGCAUUCAAUAUUUUU